GCGGGGGUUCCCAAGCCAGGUCUAAGGGGCAGGACUGAGGAAGGAUGAUCCUUUAGAUCUCCUGUGGGCUUUAUUUCGAAAUGAAAUAAAGGCGGAACGUAGGCCUUCAUGGGUUCAAAUCCCAUCCCCCGCA
rnacentral:tRNA from 1 species